AAUUCUUUACCUUGGAUACCCCCCCCCCCCUUAUAGAGUUGGGAUCCUGCUCAGGACGAACGCUGGCGGCGUGCCUAAUACAUGCAAGUCGUACGCUUCUUUUUCCACCGGAGCUUGCUCCACCGGAAAAAGAAGAGUGGCGAACGGGUGAGUAACACGUGGGUAACCUGCCCAUCAGAAGGGGAUAACACUUGGAAACAGGUGCUAAUACCGUAUAACAAUCGAAACCGCAUGGUUUUGAUUUGAAAGGCGCUUUCGGGUGUCGCUGAUGGAUGGACCCGCGGUGCAUUAGCUAGUUGGUGAGGUAACGGCUCACCAAGGCCACGAUGCAUAGCCGACCUGAGAGGGUGAUCGGCCACAUUGGGACUGAGACACGGCCCAAACUCCUACGGGAGGCAGCAGUAGGGAAUCUUCGGCAAUGGACGAAAGUCUGACCGAGCAACGCCGCGUGAGUGAAGAAGGUUUUCGGAUCGUAAAACUCUGUUGUUAGAGAAGAACAAGGAUGAGAGUAACUGUUCAUCCCUUGACGGUAUCUAACCAGAAAGCCACGGCUAACUACGUGCCAGCAGCCGCGGUAAUACGUAGGUGGCAAGCGUUGUCCGGAUUUAUUGGGCGUAAAGCGAGCGCAGGCGGUUUCUUAAGUCUGAUGUGAAAGCCCCCGGCUCAACCGGGGAGGGUCAUUGGAAACUGGGAGACUUGAGUGCAGAAGAGGAGAGUGGAAUUCCAUGUGUAGCGGUGAAAUGCGUAGAUAUAUGGAGGAACACCAGUGGCGAAGGCGGCUCUCUGGUCUGUAACUGACGCUGAGGCUCGAAAGCGUGGGGAGCAAACAGGAUUAGAUACCCUGGUAGUCCACGCCGUAAACGAUGAGUGCUAAGUGUUGGAGGGUUUCCGCCCUUCAGUGCUGCAGCUAACGCAUAAGCACUCCGCCUGGGAGACACCAACUUUGG
rnacentral:rRNA from 1 species